GGGUCAGUAGGUUGGUCGUGCCACCGGUACGUACUGGUCUCACUGAUUCCUCCUUCCUGAAGAACCGUAAUGCCAUUAAUUUGGUGUUGCGGGGAAACAGGACUGUUACUUUGAAAAAAUUAGAGUGUUUAAAGCAAGCUAACGCCUGAAUACAUUAGCAUGGAAUAAUGAAAUAGGACGAUCGAUCCUAUUUUGUUGGUUUCUAGGAUUGACGUAAUGAUUAAUAGGGAUAUUGGG
rnacentral:rRNA from 1 species